CUUUACUAGGAAGUAAAUAUGGGGAUCCAGCUGACACUUAAGUUCGAUAAGCAUGAAAACGGAAUCGGAAUAAAACCAUACAAUUAAAAUUCAUAAGCGAACACACUUUAAUUUAUUAAAAUUUAAAGUUGUACACAUUCAAUUUUUUUUUAAACAAAAUACAUCGCACAAUGGAAUGUCAAUUCAUCAUUUCAUCAUAGGCACUUUAAGAGCAAGAACUUGUUUUAUUAGCUCUACUGGCCGAAGGCCUGAAGAGCUUAUGUCAUGGCGUGGUUUCCGUCGUCCAUGCGUGCGUGCGUUAGACUUUUUCUUGUUUACGCGAUAAAGUCCACAGUUUUCAUCCGAUUCUUUCAAACUUGUUCAGUGUCUUUAUAUUAAUGAGAAAUCGAAUCCUAUUGAAAAUGGGUUACAUCAGAGUAAAAAGUCCAGAAUUAUCUCCCCUUGACUUUGAGAAAAUUGUGAAAUAAGGCUUGUUUACGCUCCAAUCAUUUCCCAACUUGCACAGUGCCGUGUCUUUAUCUGAAUGAUGAGUCAAACCCUAUUGAAAAUGAGCAAUAUCGGAGUUAUACGUCCAGAAUUAUCUCCCCUUCAACUUGAGAAGAAAAAAAUCAGUUUUUUAUUUGAUAAAUUCCAUAAUUUUCAUCCAAUUCUUGGCAAACUUGCACAGUGUCUUUGUAUCAAUUAGGACUCAAACCCUUUUUAUGCCCCCCUUCGAAGAAGAUGGGGAUAUUGUUUUGCACAUGUCGGUCGGUCGGUCCGUCCAACAGAUGGUUUCCGGAUGAUAACUCAAGAAUGCUUAGGCCUCGGUCAUGAAACUUCAUAGGUACAUUGAUCAUGACUGGCAGAUGACCCCUAUUGAUUUUCAGGUCACUAGGUCAAAGGUCAAGGUUACAGUGACUCGAAACAGAAAGAUGGUUUCCGGAUGAUAACUCAAGAAUGCUUAGGCCUAGAAUCAUGAAACUUCAUAGGUACAUUGAUCAUAACUGGCAGAUGACCCCUAUUGAUUUUCAGGUCACUAGGUCAAAGGUCAAGGUCACAGUGACUCGAAACAGUAAAAUGGUUUCCGGAUGAUAACUCAAGAAUGCUUACGCCUAGGAUCAUGAAACUUCAUAGGUACAUUGAUCAUGACUGGCAGACGAUCCCUAUUGAUUUUCAGGUCACUAGGUCAAAGGUCAAGGUCACAGUGACUCGAAACAGUAAAAUAGGUUCCGGAUGAUAACUCAAGAAUGCUUACGCCUGGGAUCAUGAAACUUCAUAGGACCAUUGAUCAUGACUGGCAGAUGACCCCUAUUGAUUUUCAGGUCACUAGGCCAAAGGUCAAGGUCACAGUGACUCGAAACAGUAAAAUGGUUCAGGAUGAUAACUCAAGAUAAAUAUGAUAACUCAUAGGUACAUUGAUCAUGACUGGCAGAUGACCCCUAUUAAUGUUCAGGUCACUAGGUCAAAGGUCAAGGUCACAGUGACUCGAAACAGUAAAAUGGUUUCCUGAUGAUAAAUCAAGAAUAAUUAGGCCUAGGAUCAUGAAACUUCAUAGGUACAUUCAUCAUGCCUUGCAGAUGACCCCUAUUGAUUUUCAGGUCACUAGGUCAAAGGUCAAGGUUACAGAGACAAAAACGUAUUUACUCAAUGGCUGCCACUACAACUGAAGCCCAUAUGGGGGGCAUGCAUGUUUUACAAACAGCCCUUGUUUAAAAAGAGCAAUAUCGAAGCAAUAAGUCAAGAAUGACUUCCCCUUGAAUAUGAGAAAAUUUUGAAAUCCCGCUUGUUUGCGCGAUUUAUUCCACAGUUUUCAUCCAAUUAUUUCCAAAUUUGCACAGUAUCUUUAUAUCAAAGAGGACUUGAACCCUAUUGAAUAUGAGCAGUAUCGGAGAAAUAAGUAUACAAUAAUCUCCCCUUGAAUUUGAGAAAAUUCUCCUUGUUUGCGCGAUUAAGUACACAGUUUCCAUCUUAUUCUUUCCAAACUUGCACAGUGUCUAUAGCAGUAGAGCGAUUCAGGCCCUCAUUGGCCUCUUGUUGUACUUAGUAUUUGUCAAAAUAAACUCUCGGUAUAUAAUGAAGAUGGCCUGGAAGCGUCAAUGUGUAUUAUCAAAAUGUGCACUACUGGAACGUGUUUAAAAAUCCGGUGAUUACAAAUUAUUUUUUUUACAAUUGCGCUUGGUAUGUUUUUGUAUAUAGUGUUCAGACUGACAAUUGCACCCACAUAUUGCAGACAAUGGAAAGUUCACAAUAAAUUUGCGCACAUAGUAGUGUAACUGAAAUCUUAUUUUGUUGCGUUUCGGCAAAUGGAAAAUAUAUGCUUACAUUUUUAACAGAGGGGGUAAUCACGUGAUGAUCUAAACGGAAUCAAGAUGGCGACGACCUUGCCGAAACAGCAUUCUCCAGAAAACAUAUGAGGAAUGAAUGCCAAAGGAAAGAACCUUUUACAGGCUUACGCGACCACGCUUUCGAUUUGCCUGGAGGAAGGCGACUGCUAGGUCGGAAGAAGGUUGACCACGUCGCCACGGAAAGAAAUUAUGUACAGAAAGGUGCGCUUGAGGUGCGGUGGGAAAAGGCACGAACAAACUACAGCAAAAUGCUACCAACCAAACGAAUGGGCAUUGAGUAGCAACGUUCUGGACAGUAUACUUGUUAAUUCUGAUUGAAAGUCUUGAUAAUUAGGUUGGCCUAUUACUUAUAUAUUGCUUGCAUAUUAUAUUUAAAAUUUGAAUUUAAAAGCAAUUUGAUCGAUCUUUAUUUUAUUUAAACAUGUAAACUGUGGUUUUGUUAACUAAAAAGCUAUUGGUGUAAUGUAUAGCUUGCAUGUCAAACGAAUAUUUAAUGCGUGCCUAUGCUUUAUCUAUGACAUAUACCUGUUUAUUUAGGAGUAAAAAAUACUUAAGGGCUGUUUAUUAAUUUGUUUGUUCAUAUCACCCGCCUGAUUUUAAGCAACUCUGUACAAAACAUUCUGCUGUUUUUCGGUUGCUCUGUCCAAUCUUUAUUUUUUCAAGGAGAUAUGAACAAUACAUAAUUUGUUAAAUAUAACCGUAAUACUACCAAAGGUAUUUGUUAGAAAUACGCAACACUAUGUAUCAAUUCGUCACCAGGAAACAAAGACUUAUUUGAAUUUUGACACGUUUGCUGUUUUUUAAACUUAUUGUAAAGCGUAAAAAUACCUAGAACAGCGACUGAUGAGAACACGUGUAUUUUUUAAAUGUAUAAUAAAGUACCUUGUAUUUCGUA